rnacentral:lncRNA from 1 species
CCAUUCUAGAAUUUUUUUUAUAAAUAAUCCUAUCGAUUUUUAUAAUUAUAAAAAUAGUUUUUUUUUAAAAAAUAAUUAUAAAAAUAGAACUCUAAAUACGGUGAAUGAUUCACCGCAUUCAUAACUCCUCAUUAGGAGUAGAAAAAGAAUAAAAAUGGUGAAUGGUUCACCGCUUUUACCACCGUAGAAAUAUAGAAAGAAGUGAGAAAAAGAAAAAAAAGCGGUGAAUGGCUCACUACUUUUAAAAGUAGUGAACCAUUCAUCGCUUUUAUAGAAUCAUAUUUAUAAAUGAAUAUUUAACAUGUCUAUUUUUAGAAUAAAAUUUUAGAAGACUAUUGCACUAAAAAACCUCCCAUUCUA